UAUGAAGGAGUUGAGAAUUAAUUGACCGAACUUGGUAUAAAGUCGUGAUUUUUGUCUAACAACUUGUUAUCUUGUCACCUCCUAUCAAGCAUGUUUAUGUCAUUCAUGAAUGCUAGAUUGCAUGCCUCUAAUGGUCAACAAAAUGUCAUCAAACACCAAUCAUGCCUCCAAAAUCCUUCCACAUGCAGCAUACAAAUCCACCAAAUCAGAUCUUUAUCAAAACCCAACCUGGCAGCAACUCCAUGAAUCUCCAUUCCUUCAUCCAAUGCAGAGACCUUCGCAGCUGCUUUUAGUAGUGGAGGAAAGCCAAACCUAUCUACACCGAAUAAUCCCUCCUCCCUUAUACUAAAAGGACAGUUUUAGGCUUAGCACUACAAUAUAAAGUCCUCAAGAAUUUGUCGGAGAGAGGAGGGCGGGGAAUGGGAGGUGAGUGAAGUCGUAGAGGGCGUAUCGAGGCUGGCGAUAGAGGAAAAGGAUGAGAGAAUGAGUUUGAGAAGGAUGGAGGUGGGGAGAUUGGAGCGCAGGAUUUGGGAUCAUGGACUUGCUUGAGGUGGCAGAUGGAAGUGGUGGAAUUAAAGGGGGUGGAUUAGGUGGGUAACUCUAACGGCUUAAUGCUGACGCUAGCGGUGAUGCAGUGCCAUUUUCUACGAAGUUAGGGAUUUAAAGCAAGAAUUUGCAGUAAAUGGGCGAAGCUUUAGUCGAGUUGGAACAAGUCCUCAGGUCCCAACAGGUUUUCUGUUAAUUUCUGGCCUUCUAGCAGCAACAUGGAAGCUAAGUAGGUUUGCUUGAGUCUACCUGUCCGGAGGAGCUGCUGCUUUUGUUGGAAUGCAGAGAUUUAACAGGGCCAUAAAUUCAUGCCUUGAUCAUAUUCUUGAUCUGGAUGGAAGUCGGAUGCAGAGGGAGUUAGCAAAUAUGUACGAGGUAGAUUUGUUGUUGAACGAUGGAAGUAAGCACAUAAUGUUGCUGGAUGGAGAAAGAAUGCUACUGUGCCUCAGAGAGUUGAGACAAGUCGAAGAAGGAGCAGGCGCUGUCUGUUAGUGAGUUUGGCUUUGGCAAAGACAUCAGCUCAACAGGUACAUCUGGGGUAUAUCUUAAAUCUCAUCCCAUGAUUAUAUAAAGCACCUUACUUCUGGUAAAGGUGGCUUGCUAGAAAUGAGAUGUCAAACGGGACUACUGAGAGUUUAUUCAUUAUAUCAUUUGAGGAUGAGGAUUUAAUAACUAUGUGAAUUAUUUGAGAUGUUUGUUUUAGGUUAAAACCAUCCUGAAGCCCCUCCACUUAUUAGGUUUUGUCUAUUAAGCCAUUGUAUUCCUAUUGUGUUGCAUUAACCCCCUUGGAUUUCAAUUAUUAUUAUUUUUUA